rnacentral:rRNA from 1 species
AGUGAACGCUGGCGGUAGGCCUAACACAUGCAAGUCGAACGGCAGCACAGGAGAGCUUGCUCUCUGGGUGGCGAGUGGCGGACGGGUGAGGAAUACAUCGGAAUCUACUUUUUCGUGGGGGAUAACGUAGGGAAACUUACGCUAAUACCGCAUACGACCUACGGGUGAAAGCAGGGGAUCUUCGGACCUUGCGCGAUUGAAUGAGCCGAUGUCGGAUUAGCUAGUUGGCGGGGUAAAGGCCCACCAAGGCGACGAUCCGUAGCUGGUCUGAGAGGGUGAGCAGCCACACUGGAACUGAGACACGGUCCAGACUCCUACGGGAGGCAGCAGUGGGGAAUAUUGGACAAUGGGCGCAAGCCUGAUCCAGCCAUACCGCGUGGGUGAAGAAGGCCUUCGGGUUGUAAAGCCCUUUUGUUGGGAAAGGAAUCCAGCUGGUUAAUACCCGGUUGGGAUGACGGUACCCAAAGAAUAAGCACCGGCUAACUUCGUGCCAGCCGCCGCCGUAA